rnacentral:rRNA from 1 species
UACGUAGGGUGCAAGCGUUAAUCGGAAUUACUGGGCGUAAAGCGUGCGCAGGCGGUUUUGCAAGACCGAUGUGAAAUCCCCGGGCUUAACCUGGGAACUGCAUUUGUGACUGCACGGCUAGAGUACGGCAGAGGGGGAUGGAAUUCCGCGUGUAGCAGUGAAAUGCGUAGAUAUGCGGAGGAACACCAAUGGCGAAGGCAGUCCCCUGGGCCUGUACUGACGCUCAUGCACGAAAGCGUGGGGAGCAAACAGG